rnacentral:rRNA from 1 species
GAUGAACGCUGGCGGCGUGCUUAACACAUGCAAGUCGAACGGGAAACCUUUUAUUGAAGCUUCGGCAGAUUUAGCUGGUUUCUAGUGGCGGACGGGUGAGUAACGCGUGGGUAACCUGCCUUAUACAGGGGGAUAACAACCAGAAAUGGUUGCUAAUACCGCAUAAGCGCACAGGACCGCAUGGUCCGGUGUGAAAAACUCCGGUGGUAUAAGAUGGACCCGCGUUGGAUUAGCUAGUUGGCAGGGUAACGGCCUACCAAGGCGACGAUCCAUAGCCGGCCUGAGAGGGUGAACGGACACAUUGGGACUGAGACACGGCCCAGACUCCUACGGGAGGCAGCAGUGGGGAAUAGUGCAAAAUGGGGGAAACGCUGAUGCAGCGACGACGCGUGAAGGAAGAAGUAUCUCGGUAUGUAAACUUCUAUCAGCAGGGAAGAUAGUGACGGUACCUGACUAAGAAGCCCCGGCUAACUACGUG